CCCUCUCCCCCCUUUAGAGCGUCUUUUCUCCGUGUCGCUUCAAACGUACACAUAUAGAGGAACCGCGCCGCGCCGCGUCUCCGUCUCUCGGCGGUGUGGAUGUACGCGGGAAUCGCGCGGAUCUGAGGCCUGCUGCACGCUUUGAUUGAUAUGAAGCAGAUCCAGAGAAGUGAGCCCUGAGGAUCCUGUGCUGUAAUCUGAGACGUCCGUCCGUCUGUCUGUGUAUGUGUGUGUGGGAUUAAUAUGACAACAGCACACACAUACACACACACUGACAGAAGGCCUAUAGCAACUCCCCCUAAGCAGGAGAGACGCUCAGGCAGACAGACAGACAGGUGAUCCUCUCUGACUCAGACGGGACGGGACGGGACCCAAAACCUCAAUACCACACUCACAGGGUCGAUGGCGGUAGCAUGAGGUCAGUGGGUGAAGGACGCAGCGGUCAGAAAUAAACUUAAUGCAGUUUCACUCAAAUAUGAGAGAGAAAACUGAAGAUGAAAGGAAAGGCGUGACAAUUAGGCUACUGUUUCAUCUUUAAUCAUUUUUUUUGCAUCUGUCAAUCAUUCAGUCAUAAGUUCCGUUUGUUUCUUGAAUAUGAAGACAACUUUCAGAUCAUAUCUGCUCCUAAAACAUGUCUUAAAUUACCGUGAGAAAGACGGUGACACAGCACAAGAGAAGGGACUGAUUGUUAGAGGCCAGACGUGUGUUGUGUGUGUGUGUGUGUAUUAAUAGCCUGUAAUCGCCUCUGGGCGUCCUGAUAAAUUCCCACGACCUCUGAUGGACACCAUUGUCUCUCUCCAUCUCUCAGUUUUCCAGGUUUUUCUCUCUCAUUAUAACUCUCAGUCUGCUGAAUCAAGAACACUCUAUCUCUCUCUCUUUCGCGUGUUGUUUCUCUCUUUCCACUGGUUCAGUGUCGCUUGCGUUGUGGCCCUUCACGCAUUCGUGUGGAAACUCUCGUUUUCUGCCGUUUUGCACACCAUUUUGCAGUUAUGUAAGAAAAAAACCUUUGCUAACUUCCUAAUUUGAUCGCGAAUGGUUGACUGCUCCUCUGUCACACUGAGUUUACACGCAACACUCAACCCAACCCAUUUAAAUAGACAUGAAUCAUUGAAAAAGAUCCCAAUUCUGUGACAAACGUGGAGAGAUCACAAAUGAACAACACAUGUACAGCGUCAAUAAAUAUGAAAUAAUGCCCACCCCUGCUGAAAAAACCCCCCCAAUAUAAACCAUCACAGAAUUUGUAAUGGAUUUACUGGUUAUAAUGAGAAAUUGUACCAUAAUGGAAACUUUAAUGCUGCCUUUUGGUCUCUAAUGGUAAUUGGUUGCCUUCGGUGGCUAUAAAACCACUGAAAUUUGAUGGUUUGUAAUGUUUAUAAAGGUAUUUGUAGUGCAAACCAUUAGACUUUCUGUGAUGGUUUCUAUUGUUGUUGUUUUUUCAGCAAAGCGUUAAUCCACUUUUAUCUCAAACAAGCACUGAAUAGUAGCUCUUCAGAAUUAUACCUUAUUAUCCUUACAGUUCUACAAUGUUAUUAGUUUUUAUAUGAACCAUAAAUCAAUAAGUCAUUGUUAAAUAGCCUAACAGUAGGCCUAUCUGGAGUGUAGCCUAUAUGUGAUUCUCCUCUGUUUUUGUACGUUUGUGUUGUUUUAUGUCAUGUAAAAAAUGUAUCGUGAGUGUAUUAUGUGGUUUUAAUCUGUCAUCAGUUUUGGAGGGAGUUUUACUGUCCUCUAGAGGAAAAUACUGGUACAGACACUCACAGAGUAUAAAUACUUCUCUAUCUCUUAUUAUUCAUCCUGUUGCUUAUCUAAUGUGUUUUGUUUGUAUUAAACUUGUUGAUUGCUACACAAUUUACCAUUGUGCUUUUUAAUAAAUUCUCCAGUACUGCUAUUAAUUCUUCAGUAUUGCUAUAUUUUGCCUAUCCAUCUGAGCAUUUGUGAUUUUACUUCACAUGCCAUAUUUUGCAUUCAUCACAUUGAACUGCAGUUGCUUGACAAUGCAAAUCUACAACCUCAUUGAGGGAAAGAGAUAUUUAUAAGGUGUGAUUUGAAUGUAGCCAAAGCAGCAGAUCUGUGUGGUCUGUUUCACAGCAGUUUUCCAUCUGAAAUCACAGAUCGACGAGCUAGAAUACACCUACUAAGCCAACUACAUCAGGAGGAGCGUCUGUACAAACAAACCAGAAUGUUUGCAUCUGUUAUGAUAGAAAUAGUAGUCUCUUUUCCCCCCAUAUGUCAAAAAAAUCCUAAAUGAUUCCAGUAAGAAAAUUGUUCUAAUUAGAAUUUCUAUCAUAACUUGGAACCAUUCCAGCGAGAUUUCUUAUAGGACUUUUAUUCUUUCUUUCUUUCUUU